rnacentral:misc_RNA from 1 species
GGUACCAUGUACCGCACAGACUUUACACCAAAACACGUAGAGGUAUGCCCAGUUCUAGGAAUCGAAAAAGGCCAGACACAAUUCCAGUUUGUCUCAACUGAUCAGCGAGGCCAUAAAUUGUACCAGCCCGUCUUCGAGAGUGUCCAGUCGCUAAAUGGCUUUCAGUCACCAAACCGAAUGCAGAUGACCGCUGCAUAAUCUGUACAAGAAAUUAGAAUUAUUCCAUUUUUCCAUAUACAGAUCUGUGAUAUUAUGUUUUUGUAGUAUGUUAUGGUCGGAUUUAAUGUUGGUACAGAAUAUGGGGGAAUUCCUACUGCAUUUUCGCUCUAGUGCCUUUUUCGUUUGGUUUGGUAAAGGCAGAAAAUAGAAUCAUGAUCGGGGAAAGCUCCUGCAUGCGAAAUGGUAGUGCUAUAACUAACAAAGCCAUCAAAGUCAUAUUAAGAGGAUCGAUCGACCUUGUUCAUUGAACAUUAGUGACGCAAUAUGCUAAAAAUAAAUUUGCUUCUAUAGUUUUCUGUGACAAUUCUCUUUCUGUAUGCAACUAUAAAAUUCAUAUACCUCUAUUUUUUUAGAAUAAGGUCGCCUUUUGGUGUCCGGAUUAUGAUAUAUAUUUAUGUGUCGUAGUUUUUGUGUUUAUUGUUAUAAAUGACAAAGUUGGUAUGAAAAAAAAAUGUUGCCAAAAGCCAGAUUUAUGUAGCACAGGAACCAAGCAGAUUUUCCGGAACUGCCUAAUAACGCUUUGUAGCGUCAUUUCCGGUCCAAAUUUUAACGUUUCUGUGCUGCAUAAACUGUCCGUUAUAUAUAGCUAUUGAUGUGUUUGAUUACUGGCAAUCAUGAUAAAGAUAAUUAUAGUACAUGUUAUUGUAUAUAACUAUUAAUUUACGAUGUUUGCAUUGUUGCAAGUGCUUUACUCUCAAUCAGCCGCUUCUCACAUUACAUUACAUUGUUACUCCUUCCUUUUCAUGCAAUAAACAAAGUAAUCCUCACCGAAGUUUUAACAUUAUCCUCUGUAAUUUAUAACACAAUGUUUCACUGUGUUGUUACAUAUUGUAUAAAUUCGCUGUACUUUUCUUUUUUAUUGUAUAUCAUAGAUACGUAGAAUACAAUUAUAUUAAAAGAGAUAAAAAGUCC